UUAAGCGACUAAGCGUACACGGUGGAUGCCCUGGCAGUCAGAGGCGAUGAAGGACGUGCUAAUCUGCGAUAAGCGUCGGUAAGGUGAUAUGAACCGUUAUAACCGGCGAUUUCCGAAUGGGGAAACCCAGUGUGAUUCGUCACACUAUCAUUAACUGAAUCCAUAGGUUAAUGAGGCGAACCGGGGGAACUGAAACAUCUAAGUACCCCGAGGAAAAGAAAUCAACCGAGAUUCCCCCAGUAGCGGCGAGCGAACGGGGAGCAGCCCAGAGCCUGAAUCAGUGUGUGUGUUAGUGGAAGCGUCUGGAAAGGCGCGCGAUACAGGGUGACAGCCCCGUACACAAAAAUGCACAUACUGUGAGCUCGAUGAGUAGGGCGGGACACGUGGUAUCCUGUCUGAAUAUGGGGGGACCAUCCUCCAAGGCUAAAUACUCCUGACUGACCGAUAGUGAACCAGUACCGUGAGGGAAAGGCGAAAAGAACCCCGGCGAGGGGAGUGAAAAAGAACCUGAAACCGUGUACGUACAAGCAGUGGGAGCCUCUUAAUGGGGUGACUGCGUACCUUUUGUAUAAUGGGUCAGCGACUUAUAUUCUGUAGCAAGGUUAACCGAAUAGGGGAGCCGAAGGGAAACCGAGUCUUAACUGGGCGUUAAGUUGCAGGGUAUAGACCCGAAACCCGGUGAUCUAGCCAUGGGCAGGUUGAAGGUUGGGUAACACUAACUGGAGGACCGAACCGACUAAUGUUGAAAAAUUAGCGGAUGACUUGUGGCUGGGGGUGAAAGGCCAAUCAAACCGGGAGAUAGCUGGUUCUCCCCGAAAGCUAUUUAGGUAGCGCCUCGUGAAUUCAUCUCCGGGGGUAGAGCACUGUUUCGGCAAGGGGGUCAUCCCGACUUACCAACCCGAUGCAAACUGCGAAUACCGGAGAAUGUUAUCACGGGAGACACACGGCGGGUGCUAACGUCCGUCGUGAAGAGGGAAACAACCCAGACCGCCAGCUAAGGUCCCAAAGUCAUGGUUAAGUGGGAAACGAUGUGGGAAGGCCCAGACAGCCAGGAUGUUGGCUUAGAAGCAGCCAUCAUUUAAAGAAAGCGUAAUAGCUCACUGGUCGAGUCGGCCUGCGCGGAAGAUGUAACGGGGCUAAACCAUGCACCGAAGCUGCGGCAGCGACACUAUGUGUUGUUGGGUAGGGGAGCGUUCUGUAAGCCUGUGAAGGUGUACUGUGAGGUAUGCUGGAGGUAUCAGAAGUGCGAAUGCUGACAUAAGUAACGAUAAAGCGGGUGAAAAGCCCGCUCGCCGGAAGACCAAGGGUUCCUGUCCAACGUUAAUCGGGGCAGGGUGAGUCGACCCCAAGGCGAGGCCGAAAGGCGUAGUCGAUGGGAAACAGGUUAAUAUUCCUGUACUUGGUGUUACUGCGAAGGGGGGACGGAGAAGGCUAUGUUGGCCGGGCGACGGUUGUCCCGGUUUAAGCGUGUAGGCUGGUUUUCCAGGCAAAUCCGGAAAAUCAAGGCUGAGGCGUGAUGACGAGGCACUACGGUGCUGAAGCAACAAAUGCCCUGCUUCCGUGAAAGCCUCUAAGCAUCAGGUAACAUCAAAUCGUACCCCAAACCGACACAGGUGGUCAGGUAGAGAAUACCAAGGCGCUUGAGAGAACUCGGGUGAAGGAACUAGGCAAAAUGGUGCCGUAACUUCGGGAGAAGGCACGCUGAUAUGUAGGUGAAGUCCCUUGCGGAUGGAGCUGAAAUCAGUCGAAGAUACCAGCUGGCUGCAACUGUUUAUUAAAAACACAGCACUGUGCAAACACGAAAGUGGACGUAUACGGUGUGACGCCUGCCCGGUGCCGGAAGGUUAAUUGAUGGGGUUAGCGGUAACGCGAAGCUCUUGAUCGAAGCCCCGGUAAACGGCGGCCGUAACUAUAACGGUCCUAAGGUAGCGAAAUUCCUUGUCGGGUAAGUUCCGACCUGCACGAAUGGCGUAAUGAUGGCUGCUGUCUCCACCCGAGACUCAGUGAAAUUGAACUCGCUGUGAAGAUGCAGUGUACCCGCGGCAAGACGGAAAGACCCCGUGAACCUUUACUAUAGCUUGACACUGAACAUUGAGCCUUGAUGUGUAGGAUAGGUGGGAGGCUUUGAAGUGUGGACGCCAGUCUGCAUGGAGCCGACCUUGAAAUACCACCCUUUAAUGUUUGAUGUUCUAACGUUGGCCCCUAAUCGGGGUUGCGGACAGUGUCUGGUGGGUAGUUUGACUGGGGCGGUCUCCUCCUAAAGAGUAACGGAGGAGCACGAAGGUUGGCUAAUCCUGGUCGGACAUCAGGAGGUUAGUGCAAUGGCAUAAGCCAGCUUGACUGCGAGCGUGACGGCGCGAGCAGGUGCGAAAGCAGGUCAUAGUGAUCCGGUGGUUCUGAAUGGAAGGGCCAUCGCUCAACGGAUAAAAGGUACUCCGGGGAUAACAGGCUGAUACCGCCCAAGAGUUCAUAUCGACGGCGGUGUUUGGCACCUCGAUGUCGGCUCAUCACAUCCUGGGGCUGAAGUAGGUCCCAAGGGUAUGGCUGUUCGCCAUUUAAAGUGGUACGCGAGCUGGGUUUAGAACGUCGUGAGACAGUUCGGUCCCUAUCUGCCGUGGGCGCUGGAGAACUGAGGGGGGCUGCUCCUAGUACGAGAGGACCGGAGUGGACGCAUCACUGGUGUUCGGGUUGUCAUGCCAAUGGCACUGCCCGGUAGCUAAAUGCGGAAGAGAUAAGUGCUGAAAGCAUCUAAGCACGAAACUUGCCCCGAGAUGAGUUCUCCCUGACUCCCUGAGAGUCCUGAAGGAACGUUGAAGACGACGACGUUGAUAGGCCGGGUGUGUAAGCGCAGCGAUGCGUUGAGCUAACCGGUACUAAUGAACCGUGAGGCUUAACCU
rnacentral:rRNA from 1 species